GGUUUCUCUGUAUUGUUUUGGUCUGUCCUGGAACUCGCUCUGUAGACCAGGCUGGCCUUGAACUCACAGAGAUCCACCUGCCUCUGCCUCCCGAGUGUUGGGAUUAAAGGCAUGCACCACCAACGCCCG
rnacentral:miRNA from 1 species